rnacentral:rRNA from 1 species
CCUACGGGAGGCUGCAGUGGGGAAUAUUGGACAAUGGGGGAAACCCUUAUCCAGCGACGCCGCGUGAGGGAAGAAGGUUUUCGGAUUGUAAACCUCUGUCAGUAGGGACGAUAAUGACGGUACCCACUGAGGAAGCCACGGCGAACUACGUGCCAGCAGCCGCGGUAAUACGUAGGGGGCAGGCGUUGUCCGGAGUUACUGGGUGUAAAGGGAGCGUAGUCGGGAUGUCAAGUCAGAAGUGAAAAUUAUAGGCCCAACUCAUGACCUGCUUUUGAAACUGAUAUGCUUGAGUGAAGUAGAGGCAAGUGGAAUUCCUAGUGUAGCGGUGAAAUGCGUAGAUAUUAGGAGGAACACCAGUGGCGAAGGCGGCUUGCUGGGCUUUUACUGACGCUGAGGCUCGAAAGCGUGGGGAGCAAACAGGAUUAGAUACCCUAGUAGUC